AGGUAAAGUUUCUGAGUGAAGCACCAGAAUCUAUACAGACGAAUAGUGUUUUCUUGGCAACGGAGAAGCACUGCCAUGUGCUCCAAACCAGACAAAAGUCAUGCACAUUCCCUGAUUUUGUUCUCAGCUUCCCUGCUAUCUACGUGAAUUUGAUCAAGGAAUGUUAAGAAUACAAGGAGAAACUUCAUUUUGUGGUUGAGAGCUUGAGUUCUGGAAUCAUGCAAACAUGAGCUUCAAUGCCAGUUCCUCCAUCUCCCUUUAAAAAAAAAAAAACAAUUUGGAUACUGACUGGAACUGCAUUGAUUAGGUGGUAAUGAUUCCCAAAUAUCAUAGUUCUUGAUCAGCUCUCACUCAUGGACACAGAUACAAUGGUCUCCCUACCUACUGGACCAAAGCACUUGGAUAUCAUCUUCCAUUUGACCUUCCUGGUUGUAUGUAGCCCUGCCACCAAUCCUAUCUCCACACUGAAGCUAGAAUGACCACUCUAAAAAUCUUUCAUUUUUUCAUUUAGCAGAAGAACAUCACUUCUAUCUCUCCCAGCAAUCAUUAUAAUCUCAAUUUGGGGAAGGAAGCAGUAGCAAUCUAAAAAAGGUACACCUAGAAUUCAAACUGCCUUGGAUGAGAUUGAAGAGGGAAAAAGGAAUAUAAAGUUAACAGUUUAAGAAGCCUGCUUUAAGUCCAGAGCCAACGCACCAGCUCAGAGAGAGCCAAAGUGGCUUGUUUGAAAUGCAGCGCACAUAAGGAUGACCACUAAUUUGUGCUUUUCUAACCCGGCUCUUUGAUUUAAAAUUCCAGAUUUAGAACUAGGUCUGCUUUUCUGCCUUCUGGCUUACAGCUCCAGCCUCAACCUCCAAAUCAAAAUUUCUCAUCGAUUUUCCAGAGGUAUGAUGUGAAGGAAAACUGUUAGGUAGGUUUCAAGCACUCAGAAAACUUUAUACUAGUUCCUCUAGCAGAAUAAUCAAAUGUUUUUGACCUUUCCCACAGCUACAUGAGAAAUC